ACGCCUGCCUGGGCGUCACGCCAAAAGACGCUCCCAGCCCCCCCUCCUCCCUGGCGGGGGUGGCGAGGACGCGGCGUGUGGCUCCCCGCGCCGCAGGGCGCGGCGGGCCGAAGUUGGGGGCACCGGCGUACGGCGCGCCGGGCGCAGCACAAGGUGGGCGAUACC
rnacentral:rRNA from 1 species